UGGACCUCAGAUCAGGCAAGAUACCCGCUGAGUUUAAGCAUAUCACUAAGCGGAGGAAAAGAAACU
rnacentral:rRNA from 1 species